CCUACGGGAGGCAGCAGUGGGGAAUAUUGCGCAAUGGGCGAAAGCCUGACGCAGCGACGCCGCGUGAGGGAUGAAGGUCUUCGGAUCGUAAACCUCUGUCAGCAGGGAAGAACGGUCACGGGGCUAAGCAGCAGUGAAUUGACGGUACCGGCAAAGGAAGCACCGGCUAACGCCGAGCCAGCAGCCGCGGUAAGACGGAGGGUGCGAGCGUUAAGCGGAAUGAGUGGGCGGAACGCGCUCGUAGGCGGUAUGUCAAGUCAAGGGUUAAAUCCCCGCGCGCAACGUGGGAACUGCCGUUGAAACUGGCAAUCUGGAGUGUGUGAGAGGUUAGUGGCAUUCCUGGUGU
rnacentral:rRNA from 1 species